rnacentral:lncRNA from 10 species
GUGGGGCCUGCGCUGCCUCAGCGUCCUGGAGUCGUCUCGGUUCGCCCUUUUGCGUGCCUUCCACCGCCGCGAGCUCGGAAUGUCUGGCCCCGGGUGCUUCAGGGUCCGAGAACCUGCAGAAGUUCACACUUAAAUCCUACACGAGAGUCGUAUUUAUGAUGCAGAACUCGAUGGAGAAACGGAGGCCCAGGGAAGGGAUGUGCCCGAGGUCAUACAAAGAAGUUUGUGGGAAUCCAGGUCUGACUCGCACUCAAUCUAGUGCUCUAAUAAUGACUUGAGUGAAUUGUAUGAAUGUGCUCAGAGGUGGAGCAGCAAUCAUAAA